UUUUUUCAUCUCCCCUGUGAGUAAUCAUCGCCAAACCUCGUUUUUAAAGAAUUUUAAGCUUUUUCCCUUUCAAAACUGUGAAAAAAUAAUUUUCGCCUCAUAGGGGUGUUUUCGUCAUUUUUCCUUAAAAUUUUUCGAACCUGACUAAAAAUGUAGUAGAUGAGUGGAAAACACAUAUUUCAUGAUUUAAAAUAAAUUUGGGUGUCUAAAACAUUUAUUAAAAAUGAUAUUGCAACUAUUUGAAUAAAAUAAAAAUAUUUAAUAAAAUAUUCUAAUUUCUUGUAAAACAAUAUUUAUAGUCAUCAGUAAAUAACUUUUGUAAUGUAAAAGCUAAAUAAAUUCAUACGUACUAUAAUACAGAUAACCGGGAUAUGAAAUUUACUUUACAGUGACUCGUGGGCCCACAAGGAACAAAAGUGCACAAAGGCAGUAAACCUACAGUUUUUGGAGUAGUAAAGCCGACUAUAAUGCUUGACGAUAUCUGUUAUCCACAAGCUACCUUGGGC
rnacentral:lncRNA from 1 species